rnacentral:rRNA from 1 species
AGAGUUUGAUCCUGGCUCAGGACGAACGCUGGCGGCGUGCCUAAUACAUGCAAGUCGAGCGAGCUUGCCUAGAUGAAUUUGGUGCUUGCACCAAAUGAAACUAGAUACAAGCGAGCGGCGGACGGGUGAGUAACACGUGGGUAACCUGCCCAAGAGACUGGGAUAACACCUGGAAACAGAUGCUAAUACCGGAUAACAACACUAGACGCAUGUCUAGAGUUUAAAAGAUGGUUCUGCUAUCACUCUUGGAUGGACCUGCGGUGCAUUAGCUAGUUGGUAAGGUAACGGCUUACCAAGGCAAUGAUGCAUAGCCGAGUUGAGAGACUGAUCGGCCACAUUGGGACUGAGACACGGCCCAAACUCCUACGGGAGGCAGCAGUAGGGAAUCUUCCACAAUGGACGCAAGUCUGAUGGAGCAACGCCGCGUGAGUGAAGAAGGGUUUCGGCUCGUAAAGCUCUGUUGGUAGUGAAGAAAGAUAGAGGUAGUAACUGGCCUUUAUUUGACGGUAAUUACUUAGAAAGUCACGGCUAACUACGUGCCAGCAGCCGCGGUAAU